rnacentral:rRNA from 1 species
UUCCAGACUCCUACGGGAGGCAGCAGUGGGGAAUAUUGGGCAAUGGGCGCAAGCCUGACCCAGCAACGCCGCGUGAAGGAAGAAGGCUUUCGGGUUGUAAACUUCUUUUGACAGGGAAGAGUAGAAGACGGUACCUGUCGAAUAAGCCACGGCUAACUCCGUGCCAGCAGCCGCGGUAAUACGGGGGGUGCAAGCGUUGUCCGGAAUCAUUGGGCGUAAAGAGUUCGUAGGCGGCACGUAAAGUCUGGUGUUAAAGGCAGAGGCUCAACUUCUGUACGGCACUGGAUACUUGCGAGCUAGAAUGCGGUAGAGGUAAAGGGAAUUCCUGGUGUAGCGGUGAAAUGCUUAGAUAUCAGGAGGAACAUCGGUGGCGUAAGCGCUUUACUGGGCCGUAAUUGACGCUGAGGAACGAAAGCCAGGGUAGCAAAUGGGAUUAGAUACCCCAGUA